rnacentral:rRNA from 1 species
GACGAACGCUGGCGGCGUGCCUAAUACAUGCAAGUAGAACGCUGAAGGAGGAGCUUGCUUCUCCGGAUGAGUUGCGAACGGGUGAGUAACGCGUAGGUAACCUGCCUGGUAGCGGGGGAUAACUAUUGGAAACGAUAGCUAAUACCGCAUAACAGUAGAUGUUGCAUGACAUUUGCUUAAAAGGUGCAAUUUCAUCACUACCAGAUGGACCUGCGUUGUAUUAGCUAGUUGGUGAGGUAACGGCUCACCAAGGCGACGAUACAUAGCCGACCUGGGAGGGUGAUCGGCCACACUGGGACUGAGACACGGCCCAGAAUCCUACGGGAGGCAGCAGUAGGGAAUCUUCGGCAAUGGACGGAAGUCUGACCGAGCAACGCCGAGUGAGGGAAGAAGGUUUUCGGAUCGUAAAGAUCUGUUGUAAGAGAAGAACGAGUGGGAGAGUGGAAAGUUCACACUGUGACGGUAUCUUACCAGAAAGGGACGGCUAACUACGUG